CUGCUCACUUUGGCAGCACAUGUGCUAAACUGGAAAGAUACAGAAAAGAUUAACAUGUUCCCUGCAUAAGGAUGACACGCAAAUUCAUGAAGUGCUCCAUUAUUUA
ensembl:snRNA U6 U6 spliceosomal RNA